rnacentral:misc_RNA from 1 species
AAGUCGUAACAAGGUUUCCGUAGGUGAACCUGCGGAAGGAUCAUUACCGAAUUGUCAAACGGGUUGUUGCUGGCCCUCAAUGGGGGCAUGUGCACGCUCUGUUUACACAUCCACUCACACCUGUGCACCUUCAGUAGUUCUGUGGUCUGGGGGACCCUGUCUCCCUUCCAUGGUCCUACGCCUUUACACACACACUGUAGUAAGUCUUAUAGAAUGUAUGUCGCGUCUAACGCAAUACAAUACAACUUUCAGCAACGGAUCUCUUGGCUCUC